GAUGAACGCUGGCGGCAUGCCUAACACAUGCAAGUCGAGCGAAAACAUCAGGACUUGUGUCGCCCGAGGGCGUCAGGCGUGGGGACCUUAACUUAGGUUCGGCCUACCUAUACGACAGGGAUGCUAAUACCGGAUAAUGUCUUCGGCCCGAAGAUUUAUCGACCUGGGAUGGGCACUCGUGGAAUUAGCUAGUUGUUAGGGUAAAAGACUACUAAGGCGACGAUCCAUAGCUGGUCUGAGAGGCUGAUCAGCAACACUGGGACUGAGACACGGCCGAGACUCUUACGCGAUGCAGCAGUGGGGAAUAUUGGACAAUGGGCGAAAUCCUGAUCCAGCAAUGCCGCGUGAGCGAUGAAGUUCUUAGGGUUGUAAAGUUCUUGUACCCGUGAAGAUAAUGACAGUACCGGGAGAAUAAGCCCCGGCUAACUCCGUG
rnacentral:rRNA from 1 species